rnacentral:rRNA from 1 species
UUGUAAAGCACUUUCAGUAGGGAGGAAGGUAGUGUAGUUAACACCUGCAUUAUUUGACGUUACCUACAGAAGAAGCACCGGCUAACUCCGUGCCAGCAGCCGCGGUAAUACGGAGGGUGCGAGCGUUAAUCGGAAUUACUGGGCGUAAAGCGCAUGCAGGCGGCCUGUUAAGUCAGAUGUGAAAGCCCGGGGCGUUAACCUCGGAAUUGCAUUUGAAACUGGCAGGCUAGAGUCUUGUAGAGGGGGGUAGGAAUUUCAGGUGUAGCGGUGAAAUAGCGUAGAGAUCUGAAGGAAUACCAGUGGCGAAGGCGGCCCCCUCGGACAAAGACUGACGCUCAGAUGCGAAAGCGUGGGGAGCAAACAGGAUUAGAUACCCUGGUAG